AAAUUGAAGAGUUUGAUCAUGGCUCAGAUUGAACGCUGGCGGCAGGCCUAACACAUGCAAGUCGAACGGUAGCACAGAGAGCUUGCUCUCGGGUGACGAGUGGCGGACGGGUGAGUAAUGUCUGGGAAACUGCCUGGUGGAGGGGGAUAACUACUGGAAACGGUGGCUAAUACCGCAUAACGUCGCAAGACCAAAGUGGGGGACCUUCGGGCCUCACACCAUCGGAUGUGCCCAGAUGGGAUUAGCUUGUUGGUGAGGUAAUGGCUCACCAAGGCGACGAUCCCUAGCUGGUCUGAGAGGAUGACCAGCCACACUGGAACUGAGACACGGUCCAGACUCCUACGGGAGGCAGCAGUGGGGAAUAUUGCACAAUGGGCGCAAGCCUGAUGCAGCCAUGCCGCGUGUAUGAAGAAGGCCUUCGGGUUGUAAAGUACUUUCAGCGGGGAGGAAGGCGGUGAGGUUAAUAACCUCAUUGAUUGACGUUACCCGCAGAAGAAGCACCGGCUAACUCCGUGCCAGCAGCCGCGGUAAUACGGAGGGUGCAAGCGUUAAUCGGAAUUACUGGGCGUAAAGCGCACGCAGGCGGUCUGUCAAGUCGGAUGUGAAAUCCCCGGGCUCAACCUGGGAACUGCAUCCGAAACUGGCAGGCUUGAGUCUCGUAGAGGGGGGUAGAAUUCCAGGUGUAGCGGUGAAAUGCGUAGAGAUCUGGAGGAAUACCGGUGGCGAAGGCGGCCCCCUGGACGAAGACUGACGCUCAGGUGCGAAAGCGUGGGGAGCAAACAGGAUUAGAUACCCUGGUAGUCCACGCCGUAAACGAUGUCUACUUGGAGGUUGUGCCCUUGAGGCGUGGCUUCCGGAGCUAACGCGUUAAGUAGACCGCCUGGGGAGUACGGCCGCAAGGUUAAAACUCAAAUGAAUUGACGGGGGCCCGCACAAGCGGUGGAGCAUGUGGUUUAAUUCGAUGCAACGCGAAGAACCUUACCUGGUCUUGACAUCCACAGAAUUCUGCAGAGAUGCGGAAGUGCCUUCGGGAACUGUGAGACAGGUGCUGCAUGGCUGUCGUCAGCUCGUGUUGUGAAAUGUUGGGUUAAGUCCCGCAACGAGCGCAACCCUUAUCCUUUGUUGCCAGCGGGUUA
rnacentral:rRNA from 1 species